GAUGAACGCUGGCGGCGUGCCUAAUACAUGCAAGUCGAGCGAACGGACGAGAAGCUUGCUUUUCUGAUGUUAGCGGCGGACGGGUGAGUAACACGUGGAUAACCUACCUAUAAGACUGGGAUAACUUCGGGAAACCGGAGCUAAUACCGGAUAAUAUUUUGAACCGCAUGGUUCAAAAGUGAAAGACGGUCUUGCUGUCACUUAUAGAUGGAUCCGCGCUGCAUUAGCUAGUUGGUAAGGUAACGGCUUACCAAGGCAACGAUGCAUAGCCGACCUGAGAGGGUGAUCGGCCACACUGGAACUGAGACACGGUCCAGACUCCUACAAGAGGCAGCAGUAGGGAAUCUUCCGCAAUGGGCGAAAGCCUGACGGAGCAACGCCGCGUGAGUGAUGAAGGUCUUCGGAUCGUAAAACUCUGUUAUUAGGGAAGAACAUAUGUGUAAGUAACUGUGCACAUCUUGACGGUACCUAAUCAGAAAGCCACGGCUAACUACGUG
rnacentral:rRNA from 1 species